rnacentral:lncRNA from 1 species
UGCCCAUACAAGUAGAGAGGUUAUUUUGGUGUUAUUUAAAACCGAUCUCCAAAUAAUUAUAAUUUACCAUUGCGCCAAACACAUCCGCUAUUAUAAGAUCCUUAAUUCUUGACACCGUUGCACUAAAUAAACAAAUAUCCGGAAUCCCAUAUAGCUUCCUAGUCGCCUUAGAAAGAAAAUGGAUGGUAUCUUGCCAAUAAAUUCACUUCAUAACCCUUAUCCCUACUUGUAUACGGAAUCCUUCCCAUUCCCAAGCCCUUA